AAGCAGCGAUACUGAACGCUAUCAUCGGCCCAUGGAGAGGACGGGGCGAAUCCUAUUGUCGACCAGUCGCAUUGUACUGUACAGUACAAAGCUUGUUGCAGCGGGUGCUAGAUUACAGCCGUUACAGGAAGGAUUAAAAUAUGAAAGUCAUCUUAUCGUUACGGCCAGCCGUGGGUCAGCUGGCUCGAGUUGCCCACAAAAGAAAAAAAUCAAUUUCCGCAAACCUCAAGACCAAAUCAGCGUUAUUAUGGCCUGCUUUCGUAACAUUUUAUGGUUUCUCCCAAACUAGAUGGGCCUACUUACAUCCUGCUCUUUUAUUUAGUUUAUUAUUUUAGUCGUUUUUCGAGUGGCGUUCGGAAAAGUGUGCACUUGGUUUAGCUGCAGAAAUGCCAGAGAGAUGAAAGCAUAGAAUGCCGUACAAUUACGGUAUAAAGACAAAAUUGCACUGCGCCGAAUCUAUUUUCAGACCGACUUUUUUCUUUAAGAAUGACGAUGCGGGUGCUCUAAAAGCAGGUUAUGUACUAUCGGCAAAGGUGAAGGUUUCAAUUUCUCCUGACCAAAAUUUUGCUCACGAAACCAGACCAUCAAUGGGAUAUUUUGCGGUUUGUUUCCAAGUGUGCCAGUAAAUACCGCUCCUAAGAAGAUCGCACCAUGCUUGGCAGCAGAACUAAACCAUCGUUUUACUAAGCGUGUCCACCCACCUGCGCAGAUAAUAUUGCUUUAAUACAAGGGAGAAAACUUCGAUACGCGGGGACUUUUGCCAAAUCCUGUAUCAUCCGGAUCGAUCCAACAGUCAUACCAUGAAAGCUACGGAUCGACGAAUAAAAUUGAAGACGAGGAAUCGAGUGAGCUGAACCGAAUCCUUCAAAAUACGAUGGCACAUGUAAUAAACAUCCCAUCACUUGGACACUACAUGGAUAGUUCGGAAACAACCCAACGGGGUCGACAAUACCACUAUAAAGUGGAUCAAUUGCUUUCUCGCACCCCCUACCAGAAGAAAGCCCGGCUAUGCUUAUUACAGGAAGCGGAUCUCUCGAAGGUGCUGUAUUGGCCGGCUAUGAGCGAUCAGGAAUUUCGUCAAGUAGACGAUAUUGCAUCGUUACUGAACCAAGCUCUCGUCGAUAUUCAGGUGGAGUCAAGUGAACCACUUGUCGUCGACUUCGGCACAUCGCUAUGAAACCUCUUACCACAUUUUAUUUUAAUCAGCCAAAUUAGAAUUUAUAACAAUCUUAUAUAUGUCCAAAUGCUUCUUGAAUUAAUCAUCGUUGAAGAUUAUCUAUGUGGCUCGUUUUUCCGGUCUUGGCGCGUAAAACACCGGCAAAAACCAAUGUUGAACAGCACACUCGUUAGAAUACGCUUACACGUGUAAGCUCAUAAGCUGCUCCUAUAUACCUAUGUACUUUAUAUUUUUAUGCGACUGUCUGCUCCGUACGGUUCUGCAGAUACACUAAAUGGAAGCCGCACUAUUGUAUAGUCAAACGCGCAGUGGCUGCAACUGUUGUAGACAUACUUUCGAAAAAUGAAUGUGGCAACUUCCAAUACGAGGGUGACCAGAGCUUAUUAACCAUAGUAGAGACCUUUCAUAAAUAUAUUUCUAUUAUCAAGGGGAACUAGGUUACACGAUUAUAACCGUAAUUGACAUUCGCUCGUACCGAUACACAACAGUAAACUUCAAUGGAAUACAAAAAUUUAGAUGAUAUUGUUUAAAUGAGCUUAACAUAAUCAUACUGUGUCUGCAGUAGCUUGGUCCCUGUGAUGAGCAUUCGUCUAUUAGGGUUUUCUUCUCCUUACCUGUCUCUUAUAAAGCAAUAUCUUCUCUUAUGUAGCAAUAAUUGGAAACAGACAUGCACUUCUACGAAAAUACGAGUGUCGACAAAAAUGGUUUGGUGUUCGUGAGUGUGAAUGUAAAAGCAAGUUGGCGUGUAGGUACUUUUAUAUAGACAAGUGUCAAAGUAUUGAUUAUUUUCACACCUUCAUAUAUUUUCUCAUACAAUAAAGCUAAUAUCUAUAAUUUGUGCUUUUCGACAGCUGAACGUAAUACUAAUGCAUUGCCUAGUGCAUUGAAAUCUAGUUUCUUUUACAACCAAUUAGGGUUGGUGUGCAUUAGCCGCCUUUAGUUAUAUCCACAAUUAUUUCUGGUACAGGUUUCAUAAACAUUUUAACUGGUUAGUUACUUGUUUUAGAUAGCUGUUUACAAUUUGUCCACGCAUUCACGCAUACAGAAUCAGUUGUAUUAUUAAGAGAAGUGUAACACAUGGCUUGUGAGGUUAUUCCAUGCGUUUCGCACGUCCCUCCCAAGCGCUGUGUGCAAUUCAAAUAACGCCCCAGCCAAAUCCACUGUAUAUAGUAAUAAAGGAAGAACUUGCUAUCCGACUAUCUUGUUAUCCCGAUGCGUGCAAUAUUAUUGAUACAGUUAAACUGCAUCUGUUAAAUAAAGUGUAC